rnacentral:rRNA from 1 species
AGAGUUUGAUCCUGGCUCAGGACGAACGCUGGCGGCGCGCCUAACACAUGCAAGUCGAACGAGAGAGAAGGAGCUUGCUUCUUCGAUCGAGUGGCGAACGGGUGAGUAACGCGUGAGGAACCUGCCUCAAAGAGGGGGACAACAGUUGGAAACGACUGCUAAUACCGCAUAAGCCCACAGGUCGGCAUCGAUCUGAGGGAAAAGGAGCAAUCCGCUUUGAGAUGGCCUCGCGUCCGAUUAGCUAGUUGGUGAGGUAACGGCCCACCAAGGCGACGAUCGGUAGCCGGACUGAGAGGUUGAACGGCCACAUUGGGACUGAGACACGGCCCAGACUCCUACGGGAGGCAGCAGUGGGGAAUAUUGCACAAUGGGGGAAACCCUGAUGCAGCGACGCCGCGUGGAGGAAGAAGGUCUUCGGAUUGUAAACUCCUGUUGUUGAGGAAGAUAAUGACGGUACUCAACAAGGAAGUGACGGCUAACUACGUGCCAGCAGCCGCGGUAAAACGUAGGUCACAAGCGUUGUCCGGAAUUACUGGGUGUAAAGGGAGCGCAGGCGGGAAGACAAGUUGGAAGUGAAAUCUAUGGGCUCAACCCAUAAACUGCUUUCAAAACUGUUUUUCUUGAGUAGUGCAGAGGUAGGCGGAAUUCCCGGUGUAGCGGUGGAAUGCGUAGAUAUCGGGAGGAACACCAGUGGCGAAGGCGGCCUACUGGGCACCAACUGACGCUGAGGCUCGAAAGUGUGGGUAGCAAACAGGAUUAGAUACCCUGGUAGUCCACACCGUAAACGAUGAUUACUAGGUGUUGGAGGAUUGACCCCUUCAGUGCCGCAGUUAACACAAUAAGUAAUCCACCUGGGGAGUACGACCGCAAGGUUGAAACUCAAAGGAAUUGACGGGGGCCCGCACAAGCAGUGGAGUAUGUGGUUUAAUUCGACGCAACGCGAAGAACCUUACCAAGUCUUGACAUCCUGCGACGAUGCUAGAAAUAGUAUUUUCCUUCGGGACGCAGAGACAGGUGGUGCAUGGUUGUCGUCAGCUCGUGUCGUGAGAUGUUGGGUUAAGU